AUUGAACGCUGGCGGCAGGCCUAACACAUGCAAGUCGAGCGGAUGAAGGGAGCUUGCUCCUGGAUUCAGCGGCGGACGGGUGAGUAAUGCCUAGGAAUCUGCCUGGUAGUGGGGGAUAACGUCCGGAAACGGGCGCUAAUACCGCAUACGUCCUGAGGGAGAAAGUGGGGGAUCUUCGGACCUCACGCUAUCAGAUGAGCCUAGGUCGGAUUAGCUAGUUGGUGGGGUAAAGGCCUACCAAGGCGACGAUCCGUAACUGGUCUGAGAGGAUGAUCAGUCACACUGGAACUGAGACACGGUCCAGACUCCUACGGGAGGCAGCAGUGGGGAAUAUGGGACAAUGGGCGAAAGCCUGAUCCAGCCAUGCCGCGUGUGUGAAGAAGGUCUUCGGAUUGUAAAGCACUUUAAGUUGGGAGGAAGGGCAGUAAGUUAAGACCUUGCUGUUUUGACGUUACCAACAGAAUAAGCACCGGCUAACUUCGG
rnacentral:rRNA from 1 species